rnacentral:rRNA from 1 species
GACGAACGCUGGCGGCGUGCUUAACACAUGCAAGUCGAACGGAAAGGCCCUGCUUUUGUGGGGUGCUCGAGUGGCGAACGGGUGAGUAGCACGUGAGUAACCUGCCCUGGCUUUUGGGUUACUUCAGGAAACUGGGGCUUAUUCCGGAUAGGAGCUCCUGCCGCCUGGUGGGGGUUGGAAAGUUUCGGCGGUUGGGGAUGGACUCGCGGCUUAUCAGCUUGUUGGUGGGGUAGUGGCUUACCAAGGCUUUGACGGGUAGCCGGCCUGAGAGGGUGACCGGCCACAUUGGGACUGAGAUACGGCCCAGACUCCUACGGGAGGCAGCAGUGGGGAAUAUUGCACAAUGGGCGGAAGCCUGAUGCAGCAACGCCGCGUGCGGGAUGACGGCCUUCGGGUUGUAAACCGCUUUCGCCUGUGACGAAGCGUGAGUGACGGUAAUGGGUAAAGAAGCACCGGCUAACUACGUG